rnacentral:rRNA from 1 species
UACGUAGGGGGCAAGCGUUGUCCGGAAUUAUUGGGCGUAAAGGGCUCGUAGGCGGUCUGUCGCGUCGGGAGUGAAAACUCAGGGCUUAACCCUGAGCCUGCUUCCGAUACGGGCAGACUAGAGGUAUGCAGGGGAGAACGGAAUUCCUGGUGUAGCGGUGAAAUGCGCAGAUAUCAGGAGGAACACCGGUGGCGAAGGCGGUUCUCUGGGCAUUACCUGACGCUGAGGAGCGAAAGUGUGGGGAGCGAACAGG